CACGUAGGGCGCAAGCGUUUGUCCGGAAUUAUUGGGCGUAAAGAGCUCGUAGGCGGUCUGUUACGUCUGCUGUGAAAACCCAGGGCUUAACCCUGGGCUUGCAGUGGAUACGGGCAGACUAGAGGCAGGUAGGGGAGAAUGGAAUUCCCGGUGUAGCGGUGAAAUGCGCAGAUAUCGGGAGGAACACCGGUGGCGAAGGCGGUUCUCUGGGCCUGACCUGACGCUGAGGAGCGAAAGCGUGGGGAGCGAACAGG
rnacentral:rRNA from 1 species